GCUAUUUGUCCUUGAAUGAUGAAGCCAAAUUGAUGAUGUGGCAACUUAUUGUUGAAUAGAUGGUGAUUUUGGGAGGGAAUUCCUUUUAUUCUUUGUACACAAACAAAAACCACUAUUUGGACGCGGGAUCCGACUAAAUUCGGGUCGGAUUUAUGGGUAAUAUGGAUCCUAUAAAUCCUAUAAACAAACUUUUUUGACAAACCCUAGAUUGGUAUGUUCUCUCUUCUUCAAUACGCUGGUUCUUCUCAUUCUUCGCCGCCGAUUCAUCAUCUAAAACUGAUCCAUCAUCCAAACCCGAUUGGCUACGCUUAAGCUUAAACCUGGUGGAUUUUUUGUUUUGAAAGACAACCUUGCAAGAUCUGGUACUGGGACAGGUGUAAUCUCCCUAUUUUAUUUUAAUUAUAUUGUAUUUUUAUUAGAUUAUACAGUAAAGUUCAAUGUUUUGUGUUAUACCUUAGUGUUACAUGGUGAUACUUUUACCUAUUGUUUCUAAAUAGUGCACAUAAGACAGUUUGUACGAUUUUGAUGAAUGUUUGAAGUGGAAUAAAAUAAAAGUGGGAGCAAUCUGCUCAUCAAUCCAGGGUUGAUUUGAAAUUCUUUAUAUGUUGGGUGAAUUUAUGUCAAAUAACAAUGAUGGAGCAAAAAGUACGUCUGGUGGGAUGAGCUUGACUUUGGUAGGUCCUAAACAAUUUUGGUGGAGGUCUUGCUGGGAUCUUUUUUAUUUUCUUUAUGUUCUUGAAUGAGCUGUGUGUUUAUGAAUCGAACGUAACAAAACGGAAACUCCAGUUUCUUCUCUUUCUUCUGAAUCGAAUGUUGGUUUAGCUAAUUCAACAGACGAUCAAGUUCAACCACCAACACCUAAUGAAUAUGAUCAUCAACGAGAGCCAUAUGUAUUCAGAUGUUUGUCAUGCUUCAGCAUUUUAAUGCCCACAGGAAAUGGGUUUAAGUGAUUUCACGGCUUUGGAAAUAAAAACAACGAAGAAAAAAGUGAACUUUCUCUGAAGGAAGUGCCUUUAAAGAAAAGCUGGUUUUCGAACAUAUUUAAAUUGGAAAAGGUGGAGAAUAAUGUCACUGAUCUUAACGUUUCAGUAGCCGUUCAGAGUUUAGAUAUGAAAAAUAAUGCUGGUGGAGUCUCUUCUCUAUCUUCUAACCUAAAUCCGUCAAAUGCAAGAAGCUAACGCACAUAUCUCCAACGGUACAACAGAUUUGGAAAAAAGUCAACUUUCGUUAGAUAAAGUUUUAAGAGAGAGCAGCAGUCAGUAAAUUUAUUCAGAACAUAUAUUCGGUUCAAAUAAGAACCAAUAAAAAUCUAAUCAACGUGAAAACAAUAUAGUGUAUUAGUGAACACAUUAUUCGAGUGCAGUGACAUUUUCGUAAUUAACGUAAAACCAUGUGUAUUCAGUAUUCACCGGUGAAUACACUAUAUACAAAUGAAUCAAAUUUUGACUUGACGUGUUUUCACGCUACUUAAGAAAUUGCCACUGAGUAAUAAAAUCUUCAUGGAACAGAUCUGACGGCCACAUGUGUGUGUGUGUGUGUCUGUUUUAGUAAACUUAUAUAAAAUCUACUUUGACUAUGUUUUAAGUCAAAUUACAUGACAAUGAUAUUUGACCAUGGUAUGAUUAUGAAGUUUCAGUUCAAGCACCAAAUGCUAUGCAUGAAGUUUCACAACACGCUGUUCAGAACAAUGUUGAAAUUCAUCUUGAAGAGCCUCUGACUGUCAACAAGGAUGUCUUAACAGACGGUCAACAAGUUAAUCUUCUCGAAGAUGUGAACAACAUUGAAUGGGUUAUAUUUGUUUAGCGUCUCUUAUUUCGCUGCAUGAACAGGACACGUUUUCUAACUUUCGCUCUCUAUGUGUUUGUUAGUUGUUCAUUGUUCUCAUGUCAUUGCUUUUGGAUUUUCGGGGAUGAUAACGUAGGUCAUCGCCGGUUUUCAGGUAAACGGGAGUGGAUAGUUUGUUGGCGUUGCUGAAAUGAUGGGGCUUGAUUUCUAAUACAGCCAUGUAACACAAGCCACCACCACAAUCUUGCACCUUAAUUCUCAUUAAGUUCAAUAGGAUGAAGACUCUUGGUUUCAAGUAGAAGGUUAUGUGCUUGCUAAAUUUUGUGCGUUUACCAAUGAAUCAACGUAUCGACUCAAUUUUUAUAGGAUCUGCUUAUGAGAAAAGGCCCGAUUUUUGGUUCCACUUUUGGCUCAAAUGGUUCUACCGCAUCUGCUACUUAUGAUGUUGUGACGAGUAGAGAGUUAUCCAACUCAGUUUGUUUUUAUUCUCCUCUGCGUAAUCAGGACAAACAGCAAGUGAUGACCUGUAUGAGGUUCAACUAACUAUACCAGUGGAGGGUUAUGAGUUGGAUAUACUCAUGUUCUCUUGGUGAUGGUGAACGGGAGUGGAUAGUUUGUUGGCGUUGCUGAAAUGAUGGGGCUUGAUUUCUUAUACAGCCAUGUAACACAAGACACCACCACAAUCUUGCACCUUAAUUCUCAUUAAGGAUGAAACAAGAUACAUACGGUGAUAGAUACGAUGACGGGUAUGGGUCGGGUAUGAGACAAACUGGCUUUAAUCGGGAUUGAAGAUAUCGAUCGCAAGCAUAAAUGUUUGGAGUACUGAAGUACUAAAUCCUACCCGAAUAAUAGAGAUUAGAGAUGCUACUAACUUUUUUAGGCGAGAACAUAAGGUUGACUUUGAGUUUUGUAGUGUUAUAGCUCUUUUACUUUAUUAUUCCAGAGAUGAGCAACAAAUGGUAGAAAAUGAAAUUACAAUAGCUUUAGCUUUUGUUUUUAGAAAAAUUAUAUCAUGCAUAUUCGGUUUUUUUCUU